rnacentral:rRNA from 1 species
ACAAGCGGUGGAGUAUGUGGUUUAAUUCGAUGCAACGCGAAGAACCUUACCUGGUCUUGACAUCCCGGAGACCCUUAGGAAACUAGGGGUGCUUCCAUCUGGAAGAAUCUGGAGACAGGUGCUGCAUGGCUGUCGUCAGCUCGUGUCGUGAGAUGUUGGGUUAAGUCCCGCAACGAGCGCAACCCUUGCCUUUAGUUGCCAACAGUUCGGCUGGGCACUCUAAAGGGACUGCCGGUGUUAAACCGGAGGAAGGUGGGGAUGACGUCAAGUCCUCAUGGCCUUUAUGACCAGGGCUACACACGUACUACAAUGGCCGAUACAAAGGGCAGCGACACUGCGAGGUGAAGCCAAUCCCGUAAAAUCGGUCUCAGUCCGGAUUGGAGUCUGCAACUCGACUCCAUGAAGUUGGAAUCGCUAGUAAUCGUGGAUCAGCAUGCCACGGUGAAUACGUUCCCGGGCCUU